AACAAACAGAAUGCGAAUCACAAUAACAACGUCAGGAAAGUGUUCAGUGAUGAAACUCAUUAACUCAUAUCUUGCAGCAAAAGAAAUUCGUUUUUCAGUGAGAAAAGGUUUUUACCCCUGCUGCAACAGAAUGUGGAGCAAUUUGUGACACAUGGUGUUAGGAAUACCACAAUAUCUUCAAUAAUUUUCUCGCUGUUGCAGAUUUUUGGGAGUGUGAGCUCAACCAACUUGUAUACUGUGUACAUCCGUUCCCCAAAUUCUUUCGAAUGGUAUUUUUAUUAUCACCCUGGCAUUAAUUAAUCGUAUUCACUGCUUGGACUUGUGGAUCUUGAAACUCAAAGUGCCGCAGACCUUCUCUGCAUUCCACACAUAUUUCCUUUCUUCGAUGACCAUUAGAAGAAAACCGGCUGUGACAGGUGUAGAGAACUUGAUGUCAUCACAAUUUCACUGAUAAGCUAAAUGGAGCAGUAGUAAUUCAUUUGCUAUAAAUUGUAAUUUUAUUUUCAUGACUACCUGUAGCUUUUUUCAAUUCCUCUAAUACAGCGAAAUAUUUUUGUCAAAGUUAGCAAAAAUGUGACGAGCUCUUACUUUGGGGUAUGGCACGGAAGUCUCACGGACUAAUGUCCCUAUCCCUCUGUGGUGUUUUUCCGUCCUCAAAGCAACAUUGCAGUUCAUGGCAGAAUAGGUGAUCCCCGUUUGGAGAAUUUUUUCAACACCAAAUAUCGCAGCCCUCGCAUUCAUGUAUUGUAGUUAUGCCUCCGUUGGCUUGACGAAGUGCACUGAAUUUUGCUCCAGGUUGUCACUAUUAAAUUUACGAGUAAGUACAAACUGAAAUCCCACUUAAAGUAAAUGUUCGAUUUUGGCAAUUGUAGAUUUAGUAGUUAUUACGAUGGCCUCGUACGUUUCAUCAGAAAGAAAAUGAUUUUUUUCUUCAGCGUUCAUCUUCCAUUUUUCUAACCAUUUGAUGAAAUCUCGCAGCCACUGCAGUCGAAGAUCAUAUUUUGAGGUGAAUGGUGCUUUAUUUGGUAGGCGCUUGUGAAUUGCUUGCGUAACAUUGCAUAUAUCAUGUAUUUCAAACCAUUU